rnacentral:pre_miRNA from 1 species
GUUUAUUUCACCGACAUGUUUUGGGCUAGUAGCCCUUCAUCAAAGUGUUAACACUUUGAUGAAGGGCUACUAGCCCGAAACAUGUCGGUGAAAUAAACAUU